rnacentral:rRNA from 1 species
AAUAUUGGACAAUGUGGGCAACCCUGAUCCAGCCAUGCCGCGUGUGUGAAGAAGGUCUUCGGAUUGUAAAGCACUUUAAGAUGGGAGGUAGGCCUUUAGGCUACUACCCGGAAGUUCUGACGUUACCAACAGAAUAAGCAUCGGCUAACUCUGUGCCCGAAGCCGCGGUAAUACAGAGGGUGCAAGCGUUAAUCGGAAUUACUGGGCGUAAAGCGCGCAUAGGUGGUUCAGUAAGAUGGGUGUGAAAGCCCCGGGCUUAACCUGGGAACUGCUUUCAUAACUGCUGAGCUAGAGUACGGUAGAGGGUAGUGGAAUUUCCUGUGUAGCGGUGAAAUGCGUAGAUAUAGGAAGGAACACCAGUGGCGAAGGCGACUACCUGGACUGAUACUGACACUGAGGUGCGAAAGCGUGGGGAGCAAACA